UACGUAGGGGGCUAGCGUUGUCCGGAUUUAUUGGGCGUAAAGAGCGUGUAGGCGGCCAGAUAAGUCCGCUGUGAAAUCUCGAGGCUCAACUUCGAGCUGUCGGUGGAAACUGUCUGGCUAGAGUCCGGAAGAGGAGAAUGGAAUUCCUGGUGUAGCGGUGAAAUGCGCAGAUAUCAGGAAGAACACCCGUGGCGAAGGCGGCUCUCUGGGACGGUACUGACGCUGAGACGCGAAAGCGUGGGGAGCGAACAGG
rnacentral:rRNA from 1 species